rnacentral:rRNA from 1 species
AGAGUUUGAUCAUGGCUCAGGAUGAACGCUGGCGGUCUGCUUAACACAUGCAAGUCGAACGGGCUCUUUCGGGAGCUAGUGGCGGACGGGUGAGUAACGCGUGAGAAUCUGCCAAAAGGACUGGGACAACCACUGGAAACGGUGGCUAAUACCGGAUGAGCCGCAACGUAAAAGAGGAAACUCGCCUUUUGAGGAGCUCGCGUCUGAUUAGCUAGUUGGUGAGGUAAGAGCUCACCAAGGCAUCGAUCAGUAGCUGGUCUGAGAGGAUGAUCAGCCACACUGGGACUGAGACACGGCCCAGACUCCUACGGGAGGCAGCAGUGGGGAAUUUUCCGCAAUGGGCGAAAGCCUGACGGAGCAAGACCGCGUGAGGGAGGAAGGCUCUUGGGUUGUAAACCUCUUUUGUCAGGGAAGAACACAAUGACGGUACCUGAAGAAUCAGCAUCGGCUAACUCCGUGCCAGCAGCCGCGGUAAUACGGGGGAUGCAAGCGUUAUCCGGAAUUAUUGGGCGUAAAGCGUCCGCAGGUGGCUAAUCAAGUCUGCUGUCAAAGGUUGGGGCUUAACCCCAAAAAGGCAGUGGAAACUGAGAAGCUAGAGUGCAGUAGGGGUAGAGGGAAUUCCCGGUGUAGCGGUGAAAUGCGUAGAGAUCGGGAAGAACAUCGGUGGCGAAAGCGCUCUACUGGACUGCAACUGACACUCAGGGACGAAAGCUAGGGGAGCGAAUGGGAUUAGAUACCCCAGUAGUCC